rnacentral:piRNA from 2 species
UGGGAGCUGUUCAGUAACAAGUGUGUCACA